CUAUAAAAAGCUACUUACAGCGUUGGACUUUUAAUCCGAAGAAAAUAAUUUAUUAUUUUUAUAGC
rnacentral:tRNA from 1 species